ACUAGAGGCACUUGAGGGGUACAACCAAAAUCAACAUGUGCCAAUUUUACUUGGCUAGAAAUUAUUCUUUUAGUAAUAAUGAUCAAACAGUUUCUAUUCCUCUGAUGUAGAAAUGUAUAUUGCCAAAUACAUAGGUAGUCCCCUAAACUUGUCCUGUUAUUUUAAUUAAAUAUUUAAAUUAAAAUUAGUAUUUAUUGAACACCUAAACUUUAUUAGAAUUAUCAAUUAGGCACAUUUAGUUAACAUGGCAAAGUAAGUGUUUUUCAUUCUCUUUGACCGUGUACAUAUUUGAAAAAUAAUUAACAUUUUAUUUUUUGUCUUUCUUUUUCUCUUCUUUCUUUAGUUUUCAUAAAGUCGUUGCCACCUUGCCGGAAAUUUAUUGACCUACGGCAAGUUCCAUUGAUGGCUUCAAUCUACACAAGGAUACUCCCAAAAACCUCAAAUUUAUUUCUCCAAUCUCCACCAUAGUUGUUUAUGGGGGGUGAAAGUAUCAAGAUUACAGCAUAAACAAUCUUAUCAUUACUUUGUUAUAGCGACCAUAUAUUGUACCCUUCACUCACGUCAUAUUCAAGUAACUACUCAGUGUAACGAUCCGACCGAUUGUUUUCAGAGUUGUAGCCCCAUUCCCCCAUUUUCUAUUCAUUUCCUUCUUAAUUAUUGUUAUGUGAUUUGCCGGGGUAGUUGGUUCGAGUCCUGAAAGGUUUCAGAAUGAAUUGAGACACUUAGUCUCAAGGUUGGAAGUUUAAGUUAAAAAGGUUGACCGGAUGUUGACUAAUGUGUAAAUGACUCCAGAAUAAAGUUUUGAUGGUUCAGUUAGCUCCGUUGGAUGAUUUUUGAUUUAGGAGUGUGUCCGACAUAGAUCAGGAUACGAUUGGAAUUUGAAUUUUCUAAUUCACUCCUAGAGUAUUUGAGUACGAUAAUUUCAUAGCGCAAAUAUUAUGGAAUCUAUACCCUCAAUUGUCGGGAAACAAGCCCUCAACUUUGAUUUAUAGUAUAUAUACCUAGCAGAAUAUUACUAGUGGCACGUGAGGGAUACAACCAAAAUCAACAUGUGCCAAUUUUACUUGGCUAGAAAUUAUUCUUUUAGUAAUAAUGAUCAAACAGUCUCUAUUCCUUUGAUGUAGAAAUGUAUAUUGCCAAAUACAUAGGUAGUCCCCUAAACUUGUCCUGUUAUUUUAGUUAAAUAUUUAAAUUUAAAUUAGUAUUUAUUGAACACCUAAACUUUAUUAAAAUUAUCAAUUUAGCACAUUUAGUUAACAUGGCAGAGUAAGUGUUUUUCAUUCUCUUUGACCGUGUACAUAUUUGAAAAAUAAUUAACAUUUUAUUUUUUGUCUUUCUUUUUCUCUUCUUUCUUUAGUUUUCAUAAAGUCGUUGCCACCUUGCCGGAAAUUUGUUGACCUACGGCAAGUUCCAUUA
rnacentral:lncRNA from 1 species